CCCAAACAUAAUACAAGAUCGAACAAUAUCUUUUUGUUUUUAUUUAUUUAUUUAUUUAUUUAUUUAUUUAUUUAUUUAUUUAUUAUCAAGAAACUAAACCUCUCUCAGGUUUAUGUAUCCAUAUGAUUUCACGUCAUCUUAUUCCAUCGUUCUGUCGUAAGGAGUGCAUUCUCACAGAAUGUGAUCGCUGGUAUCGUUCACUGUAUCCAGAAAUGCACGCAAAGCUUGUAAUAUGUAAUCUGGCAUCACGCAAGAGAGGAUGUAAGAUCGUAGAGCUUAGCCUGAGCUCUAUAUAGCAGCCAGAUAAGUACGAUGCAAACAGCAAGCUCGAUUGUUUGAAAGAGCAAGGGAAUAGCAGGAUCUGUCGGUUGAACCAUGCAACUAUUAAAACAAAUCAUGCAUGCAGAAAAUGAAACAACAGGAUGUGGCAGAUAACAUUACAGAGGAGCAGUACUGUUCCAUAAUGCCGAACAUGAAGAUUAUUUGAAUUAAAAGAAAGACAACGACGCUCGAUAACAAUAGCGCGACCAUAUCUCUAAAUUCAAGCUCAAUGGGAUCAAAUGGACGCCAAUCAAAGAAUGAAAUAGCGAGAAGGAUCAAAAUUGUGAUUCAUUGGUAUUAAACGAAUGUAAAAUUGAUUUUAUAAAUAAAAAUGUUAGAAUACUUAGGAGAAAGAGUCUUACGAAGCCGAGAGAAUUCGAUUUACAAUUAAUACUUGUUGUUAAAAUGGAUAUGACUGCACAUAUACCUACAUUACAUAUAUGUUUUAGAAUAAUACUGGAAGAUAGAAUUGUUAAAAAUCUGUUACACAACGAUUUAAUUUAUUUA